AACAGAACGUUUCUUAUGUUCUCAGAAUCAUUUAAAAUGCUUCUUCCAUCAUCUCCAUUCUGUGCAUCAAACCACUCAACGUUAGAGGAAGCAGUGGAAUCACAGAAUUAUGAAGCCAACCUGCAUCAUCAAACAGCUGAGAAAACACUUUGAGCUGAGAAUCAACAUUUAAAAUGUUACCACCUGUGUGCAUUAGCUCUUUAAUAAGUUUAACAACACCUUUAAUUGUGUUCACUUUAAUUCUUCUUUCAGAUGGAAGCUUUUCAAUUGUAUUUAUCAACGCUUUAGCUGUGAAUUUUGUUUGUCUUUUUUCACCCUUAGCACUGAUAUCAGAACAUGACUUUGAUUUAUUCAUUUCCAUUUUUCAAUAAUGAAUGACCACAAAUCACAAUGAAGUCCCACUUUUACACACACACACACACACCUUAACAUGAAAAUAUCACUGAACAGGUUCAUAUGUGACCAAGCAAAAGGCAAAUGUGGGUCGGACUGAUUCCCCCUAACUGCCUAUUAAAACGAACUAAAGUCAACCCUAGUCUUCUGUGCAUACUAGCGGUGGGUAUUAUGUACCUGUAUACCGAUAGUCUUGAAACACACGUAGACGGCCUGAGACAAGAACUACGGCGGUACUCCCGAGCCCAAUGCUCCAGCCACUUGAUGCACAAAAUAACAACAAACAAUACAGCCACCUUAUGUAGCAGCACUGCUGAGCCUAACCGGGGAAAAGUUCAUCCAUAAGACACGAACCUGUGUGUGUGAAAGUGUGGCGGAUUCAUCCCCCAUAUCCAUUGAUUGACAGGAUACAAUCAUGCAUGAAUGAAACGUAGUCGUGGUCUGUGCGUCAGCGUCUCUCCGUUGACUCCGCUCGCUCCCACUUCCUUGUUGAAACGCUUCCAAACAAUUCACGCUUCAAAGACACUUUUGUUGACUUUGACAGCGGCCGAUCGAUGUUAAAGGAUUUCAAAAACAAGCCGCUGGAGGCUAAACACACGAGCUAAGUGAUGACGCGCACACGAAGGCGUGUCUCUGUGGCUCUACCACUCUUUAUUCAUCACGCUGAGUGCCAAACUGCGCACGACACUCGUGGCGUGUUCAUAAUAAGAGAGAAAUAAUACACACAGCAAACAAAACAUGCAUUGACAAAAGAUUUCGCUCCACCGUGCUCACCCUACGUCAUGACUGACAACCAGCAACCAGUGAAUGUGUUCAAUUCACUCUUAUCAUUCUAUUGAUAUCAUUCUUACAUUGACAUUAUAUUCAUAUAAUACAUUCAAGUCCACAAACAUAGAUGUAGAACUCUCGCGCUGCCUCUUUAUUUCCUGCUCGACUCAUUUCCUGUAAGAGAAAGUGAAAGUAACUAUUCUGUAACUUUGCUUCAGUCGCCAUUUGAACUGCGCAGCACGAGGACAGACUGUUUUCUCUCGUGUGAUCACUGGACUGAACA